rnacentral:rRNA from 1 species
UACGUAGGGUGCAAGCGUUGUCCGGAAUUAUUGGGCGUAAAGAGCUCGUAGGCGGUUUGUCGCGUCUGCUGUGAAAACGCGAGGCUCAACCUCGCGCCUGCAGUGGGUACGGGGCAGACUAGAGUGCGGUAGGGGAGAUUGGAAUUCCUGGUGUAGCGGUGAAAUGCGCAGAUAUCAGGAGGAACACCGAUGGCGAAGGCAGAUCUCUGGGCCGUAACUGACGCUGAGGAGCGAAAGCGUGGGGAGCGAACAGG